AAACGACGCAUUCGCUCGGUCUCAUUCUUCCGCCUCGCUCCUCUGAGAAGACCCUGUGUCCUGAAUACUUUUGCAAAGGCGGGAGACAGCAGGAAUUUGGAGCAUAUCUGGACUCAAGCAGUUAGGAUGUGUCCAAGGAACCUGUUCAAUACAUUUGAUCUCAAAGGUUUCUCAAGAAGCUGGAUUAAGAUGUAUGGAUAUGCCAUCAGCUGAGCAUGCUGAAGAACUGCAUGAACUCAAUCCUAUCUGUUCUUUUACUCCAGUGACUGGGUAUAUUGUCAGCUGUCUGAAUGGUUUUCUGGGUCUGACCUGUGACCUGCCCUUAACUUAUCACCAAUGAGUAUGUAAAGCGCUGAAGGCUUUGUAGUACCAUGUGACUUCAGAUACAACAUGAGUUUUUACAGUUCUUUUACUCUACUGACUGACUGUGGGUAGAUCAGCUGUCUGAAUGCAGUUGUCCUGGAGACUUUUGCAAAGGUGGCAGACAGCAGGAAUCUGGAGCGUAUCUGAACUGAAGCAGUUACGAUGUGUCCAAGGAAUGUGUAAAGCAGUUGAACUGAAAGGUUUCUCAAGAAGCUGGAUCAAGAUGUAUGGAUAUGCCAUCAGCUGAGCAUGCUGGGGAACUCUAUCAUGAACUCAAUCAGUGCUAUCUGUUCUUUUACUCUACUGACUGGGUUUAUCAUCAGCUGUCUGAAUGGUUUUCUGGGUCUGAUGCCCUGUGACCUGCUGAUAACGCAUCAGCCAUGAGAAUGUCUGAUGCCCUGUGACCUGCUGAUAACGCAUCAGCCAUGAGAAUGUGUCUGCUCAUUGACUGGUAAAGCGGUGAUGGCUUUGUAGUACCAUGUGGAUUUGGAUACGACAUGAGAUUUUACAGGUGUUCAAGAUGAUCCAGUAUUGCUUUGUGAAAUCAUCAAAUCCGAAUGAAUGGUGUUGACUACAUUGCAGUUGUCUUCUGAAUUGCCAUUUUUACAGGAGCUCAAGAUCAUCUUGGAUUGCUCUGGGGAAUGAAGAAUGGCAAUCUACAUUGGUGUUCUCCUGAAUUGUUCCAGAGCUUCUGUUGAUGCUGUUUCUUUUGAUGUUCAAUCUUUUUUAAGUUUGUAAAGUGUCAUUACUUCAAUAAAGUGGUACUAAAACCAA